GAGAGAGAGAGAGAGAGAGAGAGAGAGAGAGAGAGAGAGAGAGAGAGAGAGAGAGAGAGAGAGAGAGAGAGAGAGAGAGAAUGACUUCACCAGGAUGGGGUCACAAAGCUUAAGUUUACUUUAUAAUGUGUGUGUUUGUUCCAUCCUGACAAGGCUUCCACGCCCUCCACCUCCUUAACAGCCCUUCAUGGCUUGUCUCACACACACACACACACACACACACACACACACACACACACACACACACACACACACACACACACACACACACACAC